rnacentral:sRNA from 1 species
GCCGGGCGCGGUGGCUCACGCCUGUAAUCCCAGCACUUUGGGAGGCUGAGGCGGGUGGAUCACCUGAGGUCAGGAAUUCGAGACCAGCCUGGCCAACAUGGCGAAACCCCGUCUCUA